CUUUUUCUUUGUUUUUCUUUCGUCUUUUAGAGAACAGUAUCCAUCUCUUAAAGCUUACAAGAGAGACUUGGAUUCCUCUUUCAUAGCUAUGAAUUGAGAGAUUGAGACAGUCUCUCUAAAAUUAGCCUGAUGACCAUUGCAUAGGUCUUAACAUGUACUUAUUCUAUAAUAAAUAGAACAGCGUAAGAAACUGAAUCAGAAGAUUGUAUUACAGACAUUAUGGAUAAUGAUAUUAGUCUUCCGCUCCCAUAACCCUGAGCAAACCACAUCAAAGCUACUAAACGGGACAAGAAGAGUUAUGACGAACGUCACGUAAACCUGUAGCUGGGUGGCAAGACAUAAUUUAAGACCAUAAAAUUGCUAGAUUUUAGAAUCUACUGGAUCUCCACCUCACUCCCAUAUCAGGGACCUGCUUUGAUAAUCUACGUUUUCUAGUUACCAUGAAAGGGUAGCUAUCUGCAACAGUUCCAGGGUUUCUACAAAAAACGUAUUAAUCCAAUAAAUGCCAUUUAAACGCUGCUCACUUUUAGGACUAGG